UACGAAGGGGGCUAGCGUUGUUCGGAAUUACUGGGCGUAAAGCGCACGUAGGCGGAAUAUUUGAAGUACAGGGGUCGGAAAUCCCGGGGCCUCAACCCCGGAACUUGCCUUUGAUACUGGGUAUCUAGAGUCCAGAAGAGGUGAGUGGAAUUCCGAGUGUAGAGGUAGUGAAAUUCGUAGAUAGUCGGGGAGGAACACCAGUGGCGGAAGGCGGCGAUCUGGGAAGAUACUGACGCUGAGGUGCGAAAGCGUGGGGAGGCAAACAGG
rnacentral:rRNA from 1 species